CAUGGGGGAAUAUUGCACAAUGGGCGCAAGCCUGAUGCAGCCAUGCCGCGUGUGUGAAGAAGGCCUUCGGGUUGUAAAGCAUUUCAGUUGUGAGGAAGGUGGUGUCGUUAAUAGCGGCAUCAUUUGACGUUAGCAACAGAAGAAGCACCGGCUAACUCCGUGCCAGCAGCCGCGGUAAUACGGAGGGUGCGAGCGUUAAUCGGAAUUACUGGGCGUAAAGCGCAUGCAGGUGGUUUGUUAAGUCAGAUGUGAAAGCCCGGGGCUCAACCUCGGAACUGCAUUUGAAACUGGCAGACUAGAGUACUGUAGAGGGGGUAGAAUUUCAGGUGUAGCGGUGAAAUGCGUAGAGAUCUGAAGGAAUACCGGUGGCGAAGGCGGCCCCCUGGACAGAUACUGACACUCAGAUGCGAAAGCGUGGGGAGCAAACAGGAUUAGAUACCCUUGUAG
rnacentral:rRNA from 1 species